rnacentral:rRNA from 1 species
AGCGAACGCUGGCGGCAGGCCUAAUACAUGCAAGUCGAACGGUCUCUUCGGAGGCAGUGGCGGACGGGUGAGUAACGCGUGGGAACGUGCCCUUUGGUACGGAACAACUGAGGGAAACUUCAGCUAAUACCGUAUGUGCCCUUCGGGGGAAAGGUUUAUCGCCAUUGGAGCGGCCCGCGUUGGAUUAGCUAGUUGGUGGGGUAAUGGCCCACCAAGGCGACGAUCCAUAGCUGGUCUGAGAGGAUGAUCAGCCACACUGGGACUGAGACACGGCCCAGACUCCUACGGGAGGCAACAGUAGGGAAUCUUGCGCAAUGGGCGAAAGCCUGACGCAGCCAUGCCGCGUGAAUGAUGAAGGUCUUAGGAUUGUAAAAUUCUUUCAUCGGGGACGAUAAUGACGGUACCCGGAGAAGAAGCCCCGGCUAACUUCGUGCCAGCCGCCGCCGUAA